CUACGGGAUGCACCAGUGAGGAAUAUUGCACAAUGGGGGGAACCCUGAUGCAGCAACGCCGCGUGGAGGAUGACGCAUUUCGGUGUGUAAACUCCUUUUAUAUGUCAAGAAGAUGACGGUAGCAUAUGAAUAAGCACCGGCUAACUCCGUGCCAGCAGCCGCGGUAAUACGGAGGGUGCAAGCGUUACUCGGAAUCACUGGACGUAAAGGACGCGUAGGCGGGUUGGAAAGUCAGGUGUGAAAUCCUACAGCUUAACUGUAGAACUGCACUUGAAACUUCUAAUCUAGAGUAUGGGAGGGGGAGAUGGAAUUAGUGGUGUAGGGGUAAAAUCCGUAGAUAUCACUAGGAAUACCUAAAGCGAAGGCGAUCUCCUGGAACAUUACUGACGCUAAGGCGUGAAAGCGUGGGGAGCAAACAGGAUUAGAUACCCCCGUAGUC
rnacentral:rRNA from 1 species